UACGUAGGUGACUAGCGUUGUCCGGAUUUACUGGGCGUAAAGAGCGCGCAGGCGGUCGUUCAAGUCGAGUGUGAAAGCCCCCGGCUCAACUGGGGAGGGUCAUUCGAUACUGAUCGACUCGAAGGCAGGAGAGGGAAGCGGAAUUCCCGGUGUAGUGGUGAAAUGCGUAGAUAUCGGGAGGAACACCAGUGGCGAAGGCGGCUUCCUGGCCUGUUCUUGACGCUGAGGCGCGAAGGCUAGGGGAGCGAACGGG
rnacentral:rRNA from 1 species